AGAGUUUGAUCAUGGCUCAGAAUCAACGCUGGCGGCGUGCCUAACACAUGCAAGUCGCACGAGAAAGGGGAGCAAUCCCUGAGUAAAGUGGCGCACGGGUGAGUAACACGUGACUAACCUACCUCCGAGUGGGGAAUAACUGAGAGAAAUCUUAGCUAAUACCGCAUAACACUUACGAGUCAAAGCAGCAAUGCGCUUGGAGAGGGGGUCGCGGCAGAUUAGUUAGUUGGCGGGGUAAUGGCCCACCAAGACGAUGAUCUGUAUCCGGCCUGAGAGGGCGCACGGACACACUGGAACUGAAACACGGUCCAGACUCCUACGGGAGGCAGCAGUGGGGAAUUUUGCGCAAUGGGGGAAACCCUGACGCAGCAACGCCGCGUGGAGGAUGAAAUAUCUUGGUAUGUAAACUCCUUUCGAUGGGGAAGAUUAUGACGGUACCCAUAGAAGAAGCCCCGGCUAACUUCGUGCCAGCAGCCGCGGUAAUACGAGGGGGGCAAGCGUUGUUCGGAUUUAUUGGGCGUAAAGGGUGCGUAGGCGGUUUGGCAAGUCUGAUGUGAAAUCUAUGGGCUCAACCCAUAGUCUGCAUCAGAAACUGCCGGGCUUGAGUAUGGGAGAGGUGAGUGGAAUUUCCGGUGUAGCGGUGAAAUGCGUAGAUAUCGGAAGGAACACCUGUGGCGAAAGCGGCUCACUGGACCAUAACUGACGCUGAUGCACGAAAGCUAGGGGAGCAAACAGGAUUAGAUACCCUGGUAGUCCUAGCCCUAAACGAUGAUUGCUUGGUGUGGCAGGUACCCAAUCCUGCCGUGCCGAAGCUAACGCGAUAAGCAAUCCGCCUGGGGAGUACGGUCGCAAGGCUGAAACUCAAAGGAAUUGACGGGGGCCCGCACAAGCGGUGGAGCAUGUGGUUUAAUUCGACGCAACGCGAAGAACCUUACCUGGGCUCGAAAUGUAGUGGAAUCCGGCAGAAACGUCGGGUCUAGCAAUAGACCGCUAUAAUAGGUGCUGCAUGGCUG
rnacentral:rRNA from 1 species